ensembl:snRNA U2 U2 spliceosomal RNA
AUCACUUGUCCGCCUUUUGGCUAAGAUCAAGUGUAGUAUCUGUUCUUAUCAGAAGUUACUUUCUGGUUUUGUCCCACAAGUUAUGAUUGUUUAACCUAAUAAUUACAUUACUCAGAUAUAGGGCAAGUCUUCAUGUAGCGCCGCUCAAAGUAUACUUUAGGGCAGGGUUUCUCAACCUCAGCACUACUGCCAUAUUGGGCUUGAUAAUUCUUU